rnacentral:rRNA from 1 species
AUUGAACGCUGGCGGCAGGCAUAACACAUGCAAGUCGAACGAGUGGCGGACGGGUGAGUAGUGUCGGGGAAAGUGCCUGAUGGAGGGGGAAAACGAGGGGAAAAGGUAGAUAAUACCGCAUAACAUCGGAUGUGGCCAGGUGGGAUGAGCUAGUAGGUGGGGUAAAGGCGCACCUAGGCGACGAUCCCUAGCUGGUCUGAGAGGAUGACCAGCCACACUGGAACUGAGACACGGUCCAGACUCCUACGGGAGGCAGCAGUGGGGAAUAUUGCACAAUGGGCGCAAGCCUGAUGCAGCCAUGCCGCGUGUAUGAAGAAGGCCUUCGGGUUGUAAAGUACUUUCAGCGGGGAGGCGUUACCCGCAGAAGAAGCACCGGCUAACUCCGUGCCAGCAGCCGCGGUAAUAC